AAUCCAUAGGUUAAUGAGGCGAACCGGGGGAACUGAAACAUCUAAGUACCCCGAGGAAAAGAAAUCAACCGAGAUUCCCCCAGUAGCGGCGAGCGAACGGGGAGGAGCCCAGAGCCUGAAUCAGCAUGUGUGUUAGUGGAAGCGUCUGGAAAGGCGCGCGAUACAGGGUGACAGCCCCGUACACAAAAGCGCAUGUGCUGUGAGCUCGAUGAGUAGGGCGGGACACGUGGUAUCCUGUCUGAAUAUGGGGGGACCAUCCUCCAAGGCUAAAUACUCCUGACUGACCGAUAGUGAACCAGUACCGUGAGGGAAAGGCGAAAAGAACCCCGGCGAGGGGAGUGAAAAAGAACCUGAAACCGUGUACGUACAAGCAGUGGGAGCACCCUUUGGGUGUGACUGCGUACCUUUUGUAUAAUGGGUCAGCGACUUAUAUUCUGUAGCAAGGUUAACCGAAUAGGGGAGCCGGAGGGAAACCGAGUCUUAACCGGGCGUUAAGUUGCAGGGUAUAGACCCGAAACCCGGUGAUCUAGCCAUGGGCAGGUUGAAGGUUGGGUAACACUAACUGGAGGACCGAACCGACUAAUGUUGAAAAAUUAGCGGAUGACCUGUGGCUGGGGGUGAAAGGCCAAUCAAACCGGGAGAUAGCUGGUUCUCCCCGAAAGCUAUUUAGGUAGCGCCUCGUGAAUUCAUCUCCGGGGGUAGAGCACUGUUUCGGCUAGGGGGCCAUCCCGGCUUACCAACCCGAUGCAAACUGCGAAUACCGGAGAAUGUUAUCACGGGAGACACACGGCGGGUGCUAACGUCCGUCGUGAAGAGGGAAACAACCCAGACCGCCAGCUAAGGUCCCAAAGUCAUGGUUAAGUGGGAAACGAUGUGGGAAGGCCCAGACAGCCAGGAUGUUGGCUUAGAAGCAGCCAUCAUUUAAAGAAAGCGUAAUAGCUCACUGGUCGAGUCGGCCUGCGCGGAAGAUGUAACGGGGCUAAACCAUGCACCGAAGCUGCGGCAGC
rnacentral:rRNA from 1 species